GAUCCCGAUCCCGAUCCAGGAUCGCACCCUGGGCCAAAGGCAGGCGCUAAACCGCUGCGCCACCCAGGGAUCCCUAUAAUUUUUUUCUCUUAACCUUAACUUUUUUCUUCCUUUGCCUUGAAGUUGUUUUGAAUACAAAGCAGCCUUAAACUUAGUGUUUUGCCCUGUGGGCUUUAGCGAAGCUCCCAGGGUAGAGUGGUGGAGGCUUCCAGUUUUUGUCCUUUACCUAUGGAGCUGUGUGCUGGGCUGGAGCUGCCCCAGGCUCUCCAUCACUUAAUGAACGGAGUCUGCAGCUGAACCAUCAGCUUGCCUGAGGACCCUCACUGGAACGACAAUAUAGUUCCUUCUACCUGUCAGAGUGGCUGGGGUGGGGCCUCAUGCCCAGAUCAUGGGGCUCUGUGGGGUGUCUCUGGGAUGAGGGCUACAGUGUCUACAGGAGGCACGAUGGGGUCUUAGAAAUUCAAGUUAGAUGCCCACUUCAAACCUCUCAGGAGAUGACCACUUUGUGAACUACAAAGUCACUUAAAAUCACUUGUCUAAAAAGCAGGUAAAUGUGCAGUUCUAAUCGUCAGUGACUUUUUAAAAUUUAUUUUUUAAAUUUGUAUUUAUUUAUUCAUGAGAGACACAGAGUCAGAGACAGGGAAAAGCAGGCUCCCUGCAGGGAGUCCGAUGCGGGACCCCAUCCUGGGACUCUAAGAUCAGGAGCCAAAGGCAGAAGCUCAACCACCUAGCCACCCACACGUCCCCAGUGACAUUUUUAAUACGGGUGACCGCUUGCUCCCUAAACUGAUUGGAAACACAGGUAGAAUUAACAUUUCCUGGGUCCUUUGUCCACAUAAUUAGGAGACACUUGGUGUGAGCCUGUAUCCAGCAGACGUGUCUGAUUUCUCUCCAGCUAUUGUCCUAACCUUAGCAGUUGGGCUUUCUUUAAACCACACACUCAUUUUCAUCCUCUCACACUUUAGGCCUUGGGUUAAUGUUUGUGUGCAAGUGACCCUGAGUGACAUGGAUCACUGAUACACAGAUUUUCUUGAUGAUCCAGUCCAGUGCUGUAAAUGCUUUGUCUCUUCUCUUGAUUUCCUUAACAUCUUUUUUUUCUGUAGCUUAACUUUAUUCCAACAAUACAGUAUAUGACAUAUACAAACUGUUAGUGGACCUUUGGUCUCAGUGAGGUUUUGGAGUCAGUCAUACUUGGAUUUUUUGCCUGCAGGGGGCGCCCCUCACCUCGAUGUUUUCCAGCUAUAGACCAAUCUCUGCGCGCAUUUUCUUGUGUUGCAGUAAAAGCUGAAAAUAAAAAUAAUUUCUACGAUUGUAGGUCCCCACAGCUUGCUGACCUCUGUCCUGGAUCCAGGCCAGUGGACACAGAAGCUCAAGGGGAGCCUGUCCUCCCUGAGGCCAGUUCUGCAGUGGGGCUACUAGCCUUUUUCUUUUUUGGGGGCCCCUGGGGGGAGGCUUUUGUUUCAAGCUCAGCAUGCCUUCCCCUUCUGUGCCUGGCCGCUGGGUCCCCACAGCUCUGCUCAUGCCUGUGCUUUUUGACCUGCCUCUGUGGGUUCAGGUUCUGCUCCGUUAGCCACAUCCUGGCCUGCUCACCUUGCCUGUGGUCCCUGGCUGCCCAUAUGGCUCACCACACUGGGGCAUAUUGGACAGCAAUACUUCUGCUGUAUUGGACCUUAUCUAAUUUCAUGUCAGUUGGCAGCUAUGUUUUUAGAAGCUUUUGAAAGUAGUGUGUAUCUGUUUAACAAAUGAGCAUAUCCCUAAGCCAAACACUGAUUUCUAGAGAAACCGAUCUAGUGUUGCUGAUAUUUAAGCUUUCAGGUUUUAGAAAAGCACUUGUACCUAAAAUAUAAAUCAUGGCCUUAAGAUACUACAGAGGAGGCAGAAGAACCGCCACUGUGUGGAGAUGCCAGAUGUUGAAAAGAGACGAUUGGUUGGGGUAGCGGCCGGGGGGACUGGUGCAUCUAGGUGUAACAGAACCACACUGACCUCGCCCACUGCUUCCAGAACUUGCCCAGGGCCAGGAACACACCUGGUCUUCCCAGCCCACGGUAGGUGAGAUGCUGACACCAGGUGUGUUGAAAGUGGGCUACAUGACGUGAAUCAUGCUGGUGGUUUCAUUUUGCCUAAUAACCUCAAGGGUAGUGGGAAGAGGGUGUUGUAGACGGGCCAGGACUCCUGGCUGCCGAGCCUCAUAUUGGGGAAACAGUUGGCUUGGGCUCCAGUGGCUCAGGAGCUACCUGAAAUUCCUCCAGGAGUUCCUGGGUUCUUGUGUGUGCAGCCUGCGUGCUUUGCAAAAACUACUUUGAUUUCCAAAAUGAAUUUAUUUCUUACUAUAUGUAAAGAAGUCCUAGCUUGAAAGCUUUUUAUGUAGUGGUUCUCAAGGCGUGGUUCCAGGAUUUCCAGGAUUCCAGCUGUCCCCAUAGCCCUUUCAGAAGAUCCCAGGCUUAAAGCCAUUUGCUGUUUGCUGUUCUCAGUCUCCCCAAAGUGUGCCAAGGGCUCUGUCAGGCUCCCGCCCACUGCGUACCAGUCCUCCCUGUGAUGCCUGAUGGGCUGUGUUUGUAUUGUGAAGACCUGCAACAGCCCCAGAUUGGCCCCAAGCCUGUGAAUUCCCUGAAGCACCAGGCUCAGACUCCAGGUGUUGUUUUCCUCUCACGACAGGAAGGAAGGGGGAUAGAGCUACUCGGUGUGGUUGGCCACUGUGACACCUGUGGAGCACGAGACCCUGGGGGCUGUAAUGAGGCUGCUGUGCGUCACUCCAGCCUACAGCUUGCUAGUUUAAGAGCAGCUGUAAGAAACCUUGCUUCCAAAAUGCUUUUUAGUGCUUUUCUCUGAAAAUAUGGGCUGAAUGGUGUCUCCUGUGGCCCUGUGGGUUAGGGGUGGUCUGAAUUCCUUUACUUGGGCCUUCCUCUUUGUCCUCUGCAUGGUAGCACUUGGCCUGCUUCUCAGGGAGUCACAUGUGCAGUAUCCUUUGGCCUCUCUGCCCUGAAUGGAAACUCGGAGUUGGUGCCAGCCUAUGCACGUUGCCAGCACUGGAUGGAAUCCAGUGCAUUAUGAUGGAUCCUUGUCAUCUGUUCACAUCAAGCCGACUUAACAGUGGCCAGAGGGAGACCCUUGGUGUCGCUAAGGCAAGAAGAGCCCCAGGCCAGGUCCUGAAAUUUGACCUCACUGCCCUCCCUGGCAUGAAGGAUCCAAAGAAUUGUCCUGCCAAACGCUGUUCAAAAGGGCGUGUUUCCUUUGAAGAAAUGGGAUGGCCUAAUCUGCUCUGCAGUCCACUGAUGCUUCAUGCAGAUGAAUUUGAGAACACUGUGGUUGAAGCGGAACCUGAUGUUGGAACAGUUGCCCUGAAUCAGAACUAGACUAACAUGCCUCAGCUCUCAGGACAGGAGCAAGUGUGCAGGACAGAUGCCGAGUCCAGAAGGACAGCCUUCCCAGGCGCCUCCAGCCUGGCCUCCUGGGGUACGCUGACCCUGGACAUGGGGCCUGCGACCAGGUUGCCCCCCCGACCCUCAGGUCCCUGUCCAUCUCUGCUCCACGGGACUUGUGUUUCAGCUUUGCAGAGAAGACAGAUCUAUUGUGGCUGCUUGUGUCUUUUCUCAUCUCCCACUUCUCUUUCCAAGGACGUGUCUUCCCUCCUGCAUCUGGUGAGCUUGCCCUUAGGUUUCGUUUGGCCUACACACAAAUGUUGACAUAAUAGCUUUUAAAGAUCACGUGCUCUGUGCUGGCACGGUCUGGAGGGUCUAUGUGAUGGUUAAGACCGUGGAGUGGUCAAUGUGAUCCUUCCUUGGGCCCUCCCACCCUCAAGGUACACCCCCGCAUCUGUGCUGGCCUUGCAGCUGGGGGGGGGUGGGAGUACAGACGGACACACCUGCUGCCUUCACCUGUUGCAGGUGAGAACAGUAAAGACAGGUGUCUUCUGAAGGCCUGGGCUAGGAGUGAACGAAACAGGGGUGAGCUGGGAGUGCAUGGUGGCCUCUUGGCCUCAGACCAUGUGACUCAGCAGGGCAAGGUGAUGGGACUUCACUCGGCAUCUCAGUGGCUUCAUCCCCAUUUCCUCUGCCUUCCAGAAGUAUCUUGGGGUUCACUUGCAGGUUGGAGCUUUGUGAAGAGGUCCCCUGAUUGAUCCUGGGGCACUUUGGGCCAGGGUGCUAGGGAGAGUGGGUGCCCACAUGCCACAUUCUAUGCGUUCAGCCACCUAGGAACCCGGUUGCCCAGCCAGUCAAGGGAGCUCAUUUCUCAGGAGGUGAGACUCGCCUGCUGCUCUGCCAUCACUGGAGGCACCAUCCUGCCUCUGGGAUUGGCUGGCAGCCGUCCAGGAUGAUGUGAUACAGCGUCUCACUGCCCUCUCUACCCAUGCAGAGGUGGGCCUUCCUCCAGAAGUGGGACCCUCUGUGACCAGCUGUGCUUCAGCCUUGCUCUGUUCCUUCACGUCCUGUCCUGUCCUGGUGAGGUUUCCAAUGGGGCUCCAGUUCCCUGUGACUCGGAGCUACAG